UACGAAGGGGGCUAACGUUGCUCGGAAUCACUGGGCGUAAAGGGUGCGUAGGCGGGUCUUUAAGUCAGGGGUGAAAUCCUGGAGCUCAACUCCAGAACUGCCUUUGAUACUGAAGAUCUUGAGUUCGGGAGAGGUGAGUGGAACUGCGAGUGUAGAGGUGAAAUUCGUAGAUAUUCGCAAGAACACCAGUGGCGAAGGCGGCUCACUGGCCCGAUACUGACGCUGAUGCACGAAAGCGUGGGGAGCAAACAGG
rnacentral:rRNA from 1 species